GAGCAGCUCAAGUGCAUGAACAAAAGCAUCGGGAACCUGCAGAUUGACCUGAGCUACAGGCUGCGGCUCAUUGCUCUGCUGGAGGUGCUCAGCCAGAAGCGCAUGUACGAUGUGGACAGAUGGACACUGAGCCAAACAACACCCCAACCCACGGCCACCACUGGGACCCUGCCCUCAACGUGGACAGAGAGGUCAUUGGAGGAGCGAUUGUCCUUCUUUGCCACAUCAGGGUAGGCCAGUCUCCUCCCUGACCCCAUCCACUUUGCUGGAGUCUAUCACCAAUCUUCUGGGCCUGGCAGCCAAAGACUGAUGGGGCCCUGGUUCCUCAGCCCCCAUCUCAACCAUAACAAUCACUCUGGAGGAGCCCAGGGUAGUGAUUACAGUAGCUGCUGGAUAUAAAAAGACUGCCAAACGUGAUGGAUGGGGAAUGCGCUAACACCAAUGGAUACCAGAAAAAUGGCAGCCUGAGAGGAACCCUUCCAGAUCCAGCCUCAUCAAACCCCCUCCCCCUUUACUCAUUGACCUUACCCAGCAGGAAUUAGUCAGACGAGAAACGCCAUCCCCAAUCCUAUAACAUAAAAGGCUGGAAUGAUAGGGUUCAGAUCCAGGCGACCCCAGACCCAGAAACCGCAAGGCCCCUAAAAGGAACUGAGUCAACCACCUCCCAGCCACCUGCAAAAUAACAAAACAGCUCUGGGAAAUUAAUGACUAGUGUAUUGUGAUCACCAGAGUAUGCUCCACAGGCUGACAAACAGGUUUCCCAAGCCCUUAGCUGCAAUUAAUUCCUGGAACCCCAUAAUUGUAGAAAACAUGUUUUACAGUAGAUGUUUUCCUCAAUAAAUUUCACCAAGUACAGACCCCCACACUCUCCCUGAGCAAGCAGCCCCCCAAACAGUCCCAAACAGCAGAAAAAUAUUCUUUUUCUGCAUUCUGUCCUUUAUAAGCUACCCCUCUGUAGUCAUUAGGCUGCUGGUUCUUCCUUACACCCAAGUUGAGGACCAGCCCUGCAAAAGCCAAUUAAACUUUUGCUUUGCCAGAGUCUUCUUUGUUUCUGUUUUGAGGCAAUCCUGACCCCUGCCACCUUUUUAUCCAACAGGGCCCAGCUUCUAAGAAAGAAAUAGAUCAUCCUCAAGAUGUCAGGAAGGUAUAUCAAGACAAAAGACAUUCAUGCUUAGUAGGAUCCCUCCCUGCAGAUGUGUUGAAAGACCUGAGCUAAUUACCUUAGAGUAUAAGACUCUCCUGUUCUUGUGAACAUGUUAGGCUUGGGGUUCCCAAAGUCACAGGGCCUCAACUGUACUGUUUCUCAAAAUAGGAAGAAGUCGAGAGUAGGAGAUGGUUCAGUGGAAUGACUGUUAAGGGAGGGUUACACUCCAAGAACAUCUUUGCACUCUGGCUAACCUCAGUUUGUUGAUGGUCCCCAACUAGUGGCCUGUGUUCUGGUCUCCCUGGUAUGAGCUCAGAAGCAUUAAUUUUUUAAAAUGGCUUUAGUGAGUCUAAUUCACAUAUAGUAAAGGAUAUUUUAUUAUGAAUGUGCUGCCUUACAAGCUUUAACCCCAGCCUCAGAUACAUACAUAUUCACACAGAAGGGUACCUACAUUAGCAGUAUCAGGACAGAACGUAGACCUAUAUCACAGCCUCCAGAGUUUCUUUGUCCUUUUUUUUUUUUUAAAACUAGUUCUCCU